AAAAAAACAACAACCUAAACUAAACUAAAAUUUUCCAUGAAUUCAUUCUGUCAAAAUCAAUUUUAAUUGCAGUAUAUAUAUAUAGAGAGAGGUAGGCACUAGAAACAGUUUUUGCAUUGUUUAACAAAUUCUCAAAUUAAAAAGACUAAUAAGGCUAAAUACACUAGAUUUAAAAACACUAUUGAAAAUUCAAAGAUUUCUGAAUAAAAUUCCACAUACUUGUAACACUUGGGUCUAAUAAUAGAUAAUGCAUUUUAUUUAUUGUCAUUUUUGAUAAAGGCUGCAAUCUUUUUUUAAACCAUUAUAAUAGUUUUUUAAUUGCAAUAUUUAAAAAUGGAAAAAAUACCAAUUUGAAUCUCUUUUUUUUUUUUUAAAUUGAUACUUGUUUAUUCCAAAUAUUUCCUGUUUACAAUAUCCUCAGUUGCCCAGGAUGCAAACUGUGGAUUCCAGUUUACAUUUAAACCAACUGUUUGAUACACCUUCAUACAAUUAAGAUCAGAGAAAAUUUAAACUGUUUCCAGUUCAUCACCUCUAAGAGUACAAUUGAACUUCCUUGUCCAUUAUCACAUAAUGAAAUUUCAAUGGCAUUUUCAAAUGCAGUGUAACUAUAUUUUGAAAACUAUGCAGGCUUUGCCUGUAGGGAUUAUCCUACUUAUACAACUAACUUUUUCUAUCCUAAUCUACUUAAUCAGUCAUUUAACCAAAAUAUCUUAGUUUAAAAGGAGACAAUUAUUUUCAAUUCAAAUUUCAAAACACUUCUUGUUGGAAAUUGUCACAUCAGGUUAAAUUAAUCAACAAAGAUUUAAAAGAAAAAUCUCAACUGCAAAUAAUAAUGAAGAAUUUUUAUUCAUUUUUUUCAAUUAUUUUCUAAGUUUCUAUAUAUAUUUAGAAUUUGAAGAAUAUUUUCUAUUUUUGAAAGAAAUAUACAUGUACAUAUUUUUUAUCCAAAAACAAAUGUUUGGAAAGAAUAUUAAUUUGAAGUUUUUUUCAGAAAAUUUCUCAUUAAAAAAAAUAUUUUGGUAAAAUAACUGGAUUUUCUUUUCUAUACAUUUAUUGCAUAUAUUGAAUUGUAUAUUUAUUGCCAUUUACAAAUAAAUGCUGCAUUUUUUUUUAAGAAACAAUUAAAAUUUCUCCAUUGCAAAAUUUCUUGAAAUAACGAUAAUACAACGAGACCUGUCUUAAAUAAAACCCUAAAAUGGACAUUUCAACCAGGAUAUAACAAACUGCUGCACCCGGGCUAAUCAGAUGAUAGUUUUAAAUGUCCCAACAGUUUUCUUACACAGGUUUCAGUGUAUUUUGGGGAAAUAACACUUUUAAGAUUGUUAUUGGCAUAACACACUACUCAGAAAGUUUGACUUCAAUAGGUAACAGUAUCUUAAAAAGUUAAUACAACAGCCCAUUUAAAUCUUAAUUACUACUACAGGAACAUUGGUAAAUUGGUGAAGUUAAAAAUUCAUCUACCCUGGGAAGCCAUUCCCAAUUCAAGUACAAUAAUUUUGUAGGCAUUUUAAAAUAAAUCAAUAUAAUAUAUAUACCGUAUAGGGGGUCAUUUUAGCGGGGAGUAAAUUUUUGCUUUUUCCGCAGAUAGAACAAAAUCGCCAAAUUAAUUCUGCCAAAUUAAAAUUGUUCAUUCAAAGGUAUUGAUAAAAGUUUUGAAUCCGCAAAAAUAUUUCGUAUACCUCUUUUAAAGAAAUCGCGAAAUUUUACACCUGAGAAAAUAACCCGCUAUACGGUAUGCACCUUUGUAAAUAAUUUUGCUUACUUCUAAAUUGUAUUUUAUAAAUUUGGUAAAUAACUUUUAACAGGACAAUCAGAUUUAUCAAAAGUUACAUAUUCUGUUUCUAUUCUUCCCAUUUUUAAAAUUCAUUUCAUAUACAGACUUGCAAUAAAAGCAAAAUAAAUGCCCAAAACAAUCACAUAAUAUUGAUAAAAUAAGUAGUUAUAUCAUGGCCAUAGUUAUAAUAUUAUGCAUUCAGCCUAUUUACAUUUAAAAUACUGAUAAUGGUAAGAUAAAUCAGCUCUGUAGAGCAUGAUGGGAAAUGUGCUAUGAUGGAGCAUAAUGGGAAAUCUGCUAAAAUAGGGUGUUAUGGGUAAUCUGCUACAAUGGAGCAUGAGGGGAAAUCUGCUAUAAUAGAACAUGAUGGGUAAUCUGCUACAAUAGAGCAUGAUGGGAAUUGUGCUACAAUGGAGCAUGAUGGGAAAUAUACUACAAUAGAGCAUGAUGGGAAUUUUUUAUUCAACAAAGCAUGACAGGAAUUUAACUGCAACAGGGUAUGAUGGGUAUUAAAUUAAGCAUGAAUUUUCUACAAUGUAGCAUAUCUGGACAAACUGCUGAAUGAAAUUAUGUUAUUAAUGUGCUAUAAACCACACUUGAGUGUAAAAAUGUUAUAAUUGACAGCAAUACACAAAAAUAGAAAACCUGCUGGCAAUUUGUUGUGAUAAAUUUGGAAUCUUAAAUGAGUUCUUGUUUCUGUGAUGAUUUCAUUCAGUUAAAACUAUUUUUUACUCAAAAGUUAAAAUUUUACUGAGCAUGACACUGAUUUUCUUUUGAAAAUGUAAAUAUCAUGAGUAUCGGUAAAUUUAGAUAAAGUAACUUAUAAUUCAUAAACUUCCAAUAUAAAUGUGGUUAGUAUGAAAUUGUUCAAUAUUAGUUUCAAGAAACUAAGUUUUGCAGAAAUUUCGAUUAAGC
rnacentral:lncRNA from 1 species